rnacentral:lncRNA from 1 species
UAUAGUUUUUGACGCAUCUUCAAAAUGAACCGGCCUUUGAAGGACACCAUCUCCUUGAUCAAAUGUGCAUUUAGAAAAUCGCAGUUCAACCAAGAGGGGCUCCCAACUCGCCAAACGUACAGGCAGUGUGGGCUGCUGACAAAUAGAUAUGAAUCCGGUGACGCUUCUGGAGAUAUGAAGGUUCUGUAGCAGAGUUGAUUCAACGGGAAAGGUGGAGCUGCAACCGUAGUGCCAAUGAGCACGUCCAUAAUGAUAAGGGAUCUGUCGUAGCAGAAAAUUGCAUGAUCAUAAGAACAUUUGAUGACUACCACUUUGUCCAAAAUACUUGGAGGGGUCAAGCGACACAACGGAGUACUUGGAUAUACAGGAUCAAUGAGCUCCCAUGUGUUUCCAAUGUUCGAGCCAGCUGAGCUUGUCUCGUCGGCACAGUUCCGAAAAAUAACAGGUGGGAAGAGCUUGCCUAAGGUAGAUCUGAUUGACAUGAAUGCGGCAUACCAGCUAGGGCAGGUGGCAAUGAAUGCAAGAAGGUCACGAGUUGAACCCAACAGGACAAUGAUGGAGUGCAAUAAUCCAUAUGGUAGGUCCGCCCAGCCUUCGGGUCCAAACAUGACACAGUGCACAGAGAUGGGGGUGUUGGAGCUCUGGUUGAUGUUUUGCAUGAUAUCAGCUCCAAAUUCUGCAUUAAGGAUCAUGAAAGGACAACAAUUUUAGCAAUGGACUUGAGUUAACUAUAUAAUAUAAAUUGUUGUCACUAUUUUAAUUCACUUGGUACUAAUACAACUAUGAUAAUUAUACAAACACAAUAAAAAUGUUUGUAGAAACUGUAAACAUAAUACACAAUAGAGUAAAGAUUAGGGUAUUGCCAUCCAAACGUGCAUGUGCCUCAAGAAAAUUCGAUCAUGACAAAAUUCAUCAACAUUUGAAAAUAAAAUGCAAGUUCUGUAUUUUUCUUUCCAUCGAAUGUUAUUUAUAUGUGUUGCCCUUCCUCAUUUCUUGCCCGGCCCCCAUGGACGACUUCAUAGUCAUCUUCAUCACCUUGCCACCGAUAGCCAUCCAUGAAACCACGCAAGAGCAGGCGGUCCCACACCUGCCCGGAUUCCGGGUCCGCAAUAAGGCUCUUCAGCUUGCAUCUUCGACACGGACAUCUUAUCUCUGUCUCGUUCUUUUGAAGCAUCUCGGCCUUCGCGGACCUCAAAAACCUAUUCACGAUGCCUUCAGUCAUCGUGCGGACCAUGGUCGCCUGCGGGGUAGAGCAAAACGAUAUUUUAGAACCAAGAAAAAAUUUGGCAUGACUUUCCCUAAAAAUAGGACCAAAAAGAAUGCUUAAUGCCAAAAUUCUCGCCGAAACAGAAAUGAAUCAACAUUCCGGCAAAACAUUGGCAACUAUCGCAUUUCAAAUACAGGUACACCUCCAAAUACAAACACAUAUGCAACACCACAAACAUAUGCAACACCACGAACAUGCAUAGAUCUAGCUAGGCCAUAAAAAGUGCAUGUGCACAUUUUUGUAGGGAGAACAACAUAAAUAUAGCUUCCCCCUUACUUACCUAUCAAAACAAGGUAAUUUAACCACGUAAAUUGAAUGAACCUAUGGUGGAAAUGAGGUGAAAAAGAGGAGGCACCCGAGACAAGGAGGAGGUGGAGAGAAUGAAGUGGGGAGAAAGUGAGUGUGGGUAGGAGAGGCUGUCCAAAAUAUCUUGUUGCUGCCCACUUACUAAUGGCGCACCAACUCUAAAUGCGCCAUUAGUAAUCCAGGUUACUAAUGGCGCACCUUCUGGUGGUGCGCCAUUAGUAGUUUUGCAAAAAAAAACAUACUAAUGGCGCACUGUCCCGCAGUGCGCCAUUACUAGUUUAAACUAGUAAUGGCGCACGGUGGAACAGUGCGCCAUUAGUAGUUUUGCAAAAAAGGAAUAAAAAAUAUAAUUAAAAAAACAACAUUAGUGGCGCACUUUCCGACAGGUGCGCCAUUACUAGUUACAACUAGUAAUGGCGCACUGUGUCUGGAUGCACCAUUAGUAUGUUUGGACAGGCGCACUAGUUCAAAUUUUUUUUGAUACUAAUGGCGCACCCUCGGCCUGGUGCGCCAUUAGUAGUUUCAACUCUAAUGGCGUAUCAGAAGGUGGUGCGCCAUUAGUAUAUACUAAUGGCGCACCGCUUGUCUGGUGCGCCAUUAGUGUCAAUCCCAUCUAUAGCCCUUCUUCUAGUAGUGAAUUGCCUUGCGCCGGGCUGUCCAGAUUGCCCAGAGUGUGACCGAGAGCAAUACGAACGAUCAUGCGUGAGCGACUGCAUGAAGGUGAAGAGCCACUGCUUGGCAUUGGGUUCUGUGUUGGAUACCAGAUUUUGAGCCAACUCCUCAUCAACAAGAGCCCAUACACAUCUCGAGCUAGUACAGUUUACCAAGGAGUGUCUCCAUGAAUCAGGAGAGCCACAUAAAUUGCAAUAAGCAUUAUCUGCCAUGUGCCGAUGAGCCCUAAUGUCCUCCGUAGGAAGGGAUUGCUUUGACAAAUGCCAGAGGAACAUCCUAACCUUUCCCAGGACCUGGGUCUUCCACAAAGAUUUCCAUGCUCCUUCCUCCCGCGCAUUAUUUGAUGUGCCAGCCGUUCCCUCAAGCCAUGCCUCACGACGCUGUCUUGUUGCUACAAGCAUGCGGUAAGCAGAUCUGACAGAGAAGUUUCCGCUUGAUUCAAAAUUCCAUCCCCAAAAAUCUUGGAGAUUGCGGGUGCACACCAGAAUCCCCAAUAUGAUCUGAGCAUCCAUGGGCAUAAAAACUUGGUUGACUAGCUGGAUAUUGCAUGAAGCACUCGUCUGGUCGAUCAGUUCCGAGACCAGGUUUGGCGGAUUUGGGUGAAUACUCCCAUACGGGCGUAACAUCUCAUCCCUUGGUAGCCACUGGUCUUCCCAGAUGCGAGUUGAUUGACCAUUGCCAAUUCUAUGAAUGAGCCCUUGUUUCAAUGUGUCCCUGCCUUCGAUAAUGGCUUGCCAUAUCUAACUUGGAUGGUUGCCCAAGGUUGCCUCCAAAAUGGAUGAGUCAGGGAAAUAUAUGCUCUUCAACACACGCGCACUAAGGGAAUCUGGUGUUUGGAGUAAUCUCCAUGCUUGUCGUGCUAACAUCACCAUAUUGAACAGUUCAAAGUCUUUAAACCCUAGGCCUCCCAUUCUCUUUGGCUGCGUCAUGCUUUUCCAAGAUACCCAGUGAGGUUUUCUUUUGCCAUCUUUGCUCCCCACCAGAACUUCCUAAUAAGCAUAUUAAGAUGCUCACAUAAACCCCUUAGGAGUUUGAAGCAUGACAUUGAGAAAACUGGUAUGGAUUGGGCAACUGAUUUGACUAGAACCUCCUUGCCUGCCGUUGACAUGGUGUUUUCCACCCAACCCUGCACCUUGCUCCAUAAACGAUCUUUGAGGUAUUUAAAGGCCCCAUUCUUCGAACUCCCAAUAUCUGAUGGCAUCCCUAGAUACUUCUCAUUUAAAGUUUCAUUGGGUAUAUUGAGUAAAUCCUUUAUUUCAGUUCUGGUAGCCUCCAGCACCCCCUUGCUAAAAAAUAUUGAAGAUUUUGCAAAGUUCACUCGCUGACCUGAUGCUUGACAAUAUGUAUUCAGUACUAGGUUCACCUCAUUAGCUCCUGCACUAUUUGCCUUGCAGAACAGCAGGCUGUCAUCAGCGAAUAACAGAUGGCUAAUUGGUGGCGCCGUAGGAGCCACUUGUACACCACCCAGAUUGGAUGACUCACUCUUUGAUUUUAACAGGCACGACAGGCCCUCUGCUGCUAGCAAGAACAAGUACGCAGAUAUUGGGUCCCCUUGUCUGAUUCCUCUUGAAGGUUGGAAUUCCUCCAGUCUCUUCCCAUUAAACAUGACAGAAAACUGUAUAGUAGUGACCAGUCCCAUAACUAUGUCCACCCAUCUCUCAGUGAACCCCAGCUUUACCAUGAUUGCUCUCAAAUAUGGCCACUCCACCCUAUCAUAGGCCUUCAUCAUGUCUAGCUUCAGGGCAAAAGACUGGUGUUCUUUGGCUUUAUUUCUCUACAUAAAAUGUAGGCACUCGUAAGCAGUGAUGAUGUUAUCAGUGACUAGUCUGCCAAGGACAAAAGCAGAUUGUUCCUCAGAAAUAAUGUCAGGUAGUACCACCUUAAGGCGAUUGGAGAUAACUUUGGGAGCAAUUUUGUAGAGAACAUUACACAAACUAAUGGGACGAAACUGGUUCAGUAGGGUUGGAUUUUUGACCUUGGGAAUCAACACCAAUACAGUCUCAUUGAUGCAUGUUGCCGAUUCUGUGCCCUCAACAAUUUUAAGCACGACUUUGGUGAUCUCGUCUCUGUAGGGUUUCGUAGUAAUUUCAAAAAAAUUCCUACGCUCACGCAAGAUCAUGGUGAUGCAUAGCAACGAGAGGGGAGAGUAUGAUCUAAGUACCCUUGUAGAUCGACAACGGAAGCGUUUGGUUGAUGUAGUCGUACGUCUUCACGGCCCGACCGAUCAAGCACCGAAACUACGGCACCUUCGAGUUCUAGCACACGUUCAGCUCGAUGACGAUCCCCGGACUCCGAUCCAGCAAAGUGUCGGGGAAGAGUUCCGUCAGCACGACGGCGUGGUGACGAUCUUGAUGUACUACUGCAGCAGGGCUUCGCCUAAACACCGCUACAAUAUUAUCGAGGACUAUGGUGGAAGGGGGCACCACACACGGCUAAGAAUAUGAUCACGUGGAUCAACUUGUGUUUGUCUGGGGUGCCCCUGCCUCUCUAUAUAAAGGCUCAAGGGGGGUGCGGCCGGCCUAGGAGAGGCGCGCUAGGAGGAGUCCUACUCCCUCUGGGAGUAGGAUCCCCCCCCCCAAUCCUAGUUGGAAUAGGAUUCGCGGAGGGGGGAAAGAGAGAGAAGGGGGCCGCCCCCCUCAUCUUGUCCUAUUCGGACCAAGGGAGGGGAGGGGCGCGCGGCCCAUCUUGGGCUGCCCCUUCUCUUUUCCACUAAGGCCCACUUAGGCCCAUAUAGCUCCCCAGGGGUUCCGGUAACCUCCCGGUACUCCGGUAAAAUCCUGAUUUCACCCAGAACACUUCCGAUAUCCAAACAUAAGCUUCCAAUAUAUCAAUCUUUAUGUCUCGACCAUUUCGAGACUCCUCGUCAUGUCCGUGAUCACAUCCGGGACUCCGAACAACCUUCGGUACAUCAAAAUGCAUAAACUCAUAAUAUAACUGUCAUCGUAACCUUAAGCGUGCGGACCCUACGGGUUCGAGAACAAUGUAGACAUGACCGAGACACGUCUCAGGUCAAUAACCAAUAGCGGAACCUGGAUGCUCAUAUUGGCUCCUACAUAUUCUACGAAGAUCUUUUAUCGGUCAGACCGCAUAACAACAUAAGUUGUUCCCUUUGUCAUCGGCAGGUGACAAUGAAUGCAAGAAGGUCACGAGUUGAACCCAACAGGACAAUGAUGGAGUGCAAUAAUCCAUGUGGUAGGUCCGCCCAGCCUUCGGGUCCAAACAUGACACAGUGCACGGAGAUGGGGGUGUUGGAGCUCUGGUUGAUGUUUUGCAUGAUAUCAGCUCCAAAUUCUGCAUUAAGGAUCAUGAAAGGACAACAAUUUUAGCAAUGGACUUGAGUUAACUAUAUAAUAUAAAUUGUUGUCACUAUUUUAAUUCACUUGGUACUAAUACAACUAUGAUAAUUAUACAAACACAAUAAAAAUGUUUGUAGAAACUGUAAACAUAAUACACAAUAGAGUAAAGAUUAGGGUAUUGCCAUCCAAACGUGCAUGUGCCUCAAGAAAAUUCGAUCAUGACAAAAUUCAUCAACAUUUGAAAAUAAAAUGCAAGUUCUGUAUUUUUCUUUCCAUCGAAUGUUAUUUAUAUGUGUUGCACAACAGGUUUGGCUCUUGUAUCCACCUCGAUCUCGGGCCCGCACAUACGCGAUAAAUUUCAUCAACAUUUGAAAUUAAAAGGUGCAAGCAAUAUUGAAAUACUAAGAUUGUUCUACACUGAUAGUGGUAAACCCUUGAACUAUUUCAUAGUUUUCAUAUAGUAUAAACACAACAGGAUCACACAUCCACCAACAACACAUACACUCAAAUCCCCAAAUCAUCCGGUCAGGCUAACAAGAACAAAAGUGCGAUGAGCGCGUCAGAGGAGGUCACCCCCAAUGGGGGUGAUGGCGGGACAAGGAAGAUGAUCCUGGGCAGCCUUGUGCGGUGGAGAACUCUGUUUGACCGUGGACGGUGGCACCGGUCAGUGAAUAUAUAUACUCGGCCAACCCACGAGACCAUGUCCUACACAUAAAUUGACUUAACCUAGAUCACAUCGUAUCCUACAUAUUUGGGACUCAAGCUUGACUCAAACACGUGAACUCCUACUAGUAAAUCUACAUGACUUUGGUUAGUCCCCAAAGAACUAAAGCCACGUGACAUGCAAGCACCAACUACGUCAUGUUCCAAACAAAACAAUCAAGAUUAUGCUAACACUAGCGCCGGCCCCCUGCACCACCAAUGGUUGUCAUGGGUUCUCAACUCCAACAUGAGGUGGGGAAGGUCUCGUUCACGAUACCGGCAAUCACUCCAAAGCUGCGUGUAGGUACAAAUCAGAGCAAGGGGGCAGAACUCGACAUCAACUUGGUUCCUUCAUGAGUCCGGCAGCCAGCAAGGAAAAUGAAGUGGGCAAAGUCAACCUCAACCAGGCUCAUCCCCUACCCCCUGGAGCCGGUAACACGAAAGCCAAGCACCACAAAGAUAAGAAUAGCCUCAAGGGUAAGCCAAGGAAGGAGGUAGAUCAAUCCUUGGUGAACACCAGGGCGGUGUUGGGUAAAUGCAUGGGACGUGAAAAGUGAGUCUGGUAGUGAGUUUGUGACGACACCUAGUUACACGGGUCCUGGUCUGAACAAGAAGGCAUGAGGUGAGGGUAAUGGAGGUGGCAUGAGCAACAUAGGUCUGUUAGGUGGUAAGGAAGCUAUCGGCCCAUGGGUUGUCGAUGAAUGACAUGUGAUAAGGAAGGCACCUGUCAGGAGAAAUGAGUUGCCUGAUCUAGAACUGUUGGGGCCUCAGGCAGUCCCAGAUAGUUGAAGAGCUAGUUUUCCUCGUGCGCACAUACACCACUCGAUGAUUAUUUUACUUCUAAAACUCGACAAUGUGAAAUAGUUUCAAUAAUCUUAGGUGGAUGCUAGGCCGCAGGAAUUAUAUUACGCAUGAUGGUAAGGGCAAUGGUGCCAACAUUGCGUUGUUCUGAGAUGAAAGAACUAAAAUAAAAAAGACUGCCAUAUAUGACCUGAGGUACAUUGAUGUCUUUAUUCAAGAUGAUUCCCAUGGCCCGAAGUGUCGGGCUACAUGGUGAACCAAGGAGCCAGGAAGACGUUACAUCUGGAGUUUACUCAAAAGAAUAAAGCCAAAUGCUCAUGAACACUUGUUGAUGAUAGGUGAUUUUUAUGAGACGAUGUGGCAACAUGAGCACUUCUUAGUAGCUUGGAUAUCCGACAGAAAAAUACCAAUUUUAGAGAAGCCUUGUUCUAGUGUGAUAUUCAUAAUUGGGGCUAUAAGGGGCCAUCUUGGACAUGCGAUAAUAAACAGUAUGGCAAAAGCAAUGUGACCGUCGGGUUGAAAGUGCAGUUGCAUCGUCGGGUUGGUGUGAUUUAUUCAAAGUGAACAGUGGUACACACAUAUGCUCCAACCACUUUCCUCUAUGGCUGCAAUACGGGAGACAGACCAAGGUGCAUAGCAACGUGAAAUCCUUUCGGUAUGAGUAGAUAUGGGAAAGAGUACCGUCGAUGGAGAUUGAAGUCCCUGGACGAUGACUGCACUAAGUUGGGAGUGCUGCAACAGGAUGUUUGGUCCUGGACAUGAAAGAUUUUGGGCCAUGAUAAGGAGUACUCAUUGGCUGAGAAGGAAUAUUAUAGUCACAUACUAUAUGCACCAUCUUAUUGGUUGCGAACUGUUGAAAUAUAUUGCCUGCCUCCCUCCAUCAGUUCGGACUUUUGGAUGAGUUGGCUGGAGCAUGAAUUCAAUAUGGUAUCCGAGCCAAGAGGUCUUGAGUUCAAGACCCUACCGACGCAGUAUUAAAUAAAAUGAUUUUGCGGCCUACAUCGACCCCACGUCUAAGGACUAAAAUAACCUAGACGUGAGGGGGAGUGUUGAAAUAUAUUGCCCGCCUCUCUCCAUCAGUUCAGACUUUUGGAUGAGCUGGCUAGAGCAUGAAUUCAAUACGGAUGGUCUGGAAAGCAUCUUAAGAAAGCAAGUCUUGGAAGGGAGGUUAAUUGCUAGGGGAGACUCGGUGUCUCUAAACUAAUGUUUGUUGAUGGAAGCCUUUUGUUCUUCAAGGCCAUAGGAAGAGAGGCGAGGGUAGUGAAGGACACUCCAAAUCUAUUUCAAAGGUGUACAUGAUAGCUUCUUAGCCCAGCUAAAUGCUCUUUAUUAUUUAGUGAACACUGCCCGCAUGUCCAGUAAGAGAUAAAGGUAACCCUUGGUGUUGUAACUUCCACUUUUGAGAGUAAAUAUUUGGGUUUACCAACCCCAGAAGGUAGGAUGUUUGACUCGAAUUUCAAUCGAUCAUGGAAAGGUUCACAAAAAUGUGCAACGACUGGAUUAAAAAGUAUAUGACCCAUGCAGCUAAAGAGAUCUUGAUCAAGUAAGUGGUUCAAGCGCUUCUCACUUACUUGUUUGGAUUGUUCAAAUAUCCUUGGGCUUUUUUGAAAAGUUGGGCUUUUUGUGGUAAGUAUGAAAAACUUAUCUGGGACUUUAGGUGGGGCGGUGAGUAAGGACAUCACAAGUCCAUUGGCUCUCCUGGUACCAACCGGUAAAACAAAAGAGAGGAGAUGUUCUAGGAUUAUGGGAUAGGUAUAUGUUUAACCAAGCUCUCUUGGAAUGGCAAGGGUGGAUACUCAUUCACAAGCCGGAUAGUUUAUGUUCUAGAAUCUUGAAAUGAGAAUAUUAUCCUCGUGUGAAUAUUCUAGACAUGGUCAUUUCCUAUUAUGCAUCGCCGGCUUGGCGUUAAGAUACUCAAGCAAAUACAUCAUCUGGCGUAUAGAGAAUGGAUGAAAAAUUCAGAUUCAAAGAGACAACUGGAUUCUAAGAUAGUAUGGCCUCAGGUCACCAAAUUCGCUAGAAACUCGAGGUUGAGGUAGGUUAACCAGUUGAUUGUCUCAAUAAAAAUGAAUGGAAUAUUAACCUUGUCCAUAGGCUAUUUUCUGACGUCAAUGCAGAGGAGAUAUUUCGCAUAAAUCACCCUUCUACGUGAUGGAUAACUUGCUUAUAAACUUGCCACCCAACUCACAUUCAGGUACAAUUCCCCUGCUUCUAGCUCUUCAAGUGCGACAUAUAAUUGGAGUAUUUGGGGUGUGUUUUGGAGAGCUAAGGUUCCAAAGAAGGUUAAGGUCUUUGGCUGGAGGUUGCUACUGGCUCACUGGCUACACAAUUUUGUAAAUUUAUAAAGGUGCUGAGUGUAACACCAUUUAUGCUAUUUCUGGUAACAAUGUGGAGCUUGAAUUCCAAUCCACGAUGGCUUUGUGGUGUUGGCUAGUGUCCCAUCAAUACUUCUUUUUCCCACCUGUCUAAUGAUUGCAAUCAGUCUAUAGUAAUAUACAAGUCUAGUGUUUUCCUCCAAUAAAAUAAAAUAAACACAACUCGAAGAUGAACUAAAUUUUUACAUUAAUUUUCCUAGAAAAAAAUAGGGCGAGUUCUUCUCCUACCUUCUUUGGUGUUGACAGCGGAGGGCGAAGUGGAGGCAACAACUACAUUCUCCGAUGCCAGUCGUGGUAAGACGAGGCCAUCGGAUUCAGUAUGCUGCUUUCGUCCAUCGCCAAUCAUCAUGUUUCCUCCAGAUCUGGGGAAAACGGACGCCUUCGACCGCGGUGACUCCAGAUCUGGAUGUGACUAGUCGCCCGCACCUAGGAUUCCAGAUCUGGAUGCGACUGGUCGCCCGCACCUAGGAUUCCAGAUCUGGAUGGAAACACAUUAGUAGCCCACACGGUUCUCUCAACGCAUCAUCCACCACUCAACUGUGGGGCGGUUCUAGCGCAGUUGGUGUGGAUGUCAAGGGGGAGGGGAACGUGUGUGACGAGAAAGAGAGAGCGGGGGGAGGGGAGAAAGAGAGGAGAGGGAGAGAGUCGUGUGUGGGUUUGUUCGUUAUAUAAAAGGCUUUAUCGGAGUACCAAGGGGAACCUUGUCAAACUCCGAGUGAUUUUUCUUGCUUUUGGCAACUUUAUACCUUGAACAAGCUCUAUUACUAAGAAAAGAGGGAGGCUAGAUUGUGCAUGCUUGUGAAUCGUGCACUCGCGUUUCGAUAAGUUUUAUUUUCCAUUUGGGAAAGGGUGCAACACCUCCUUGUUCCCAUUAGAAGAUUAGGUGAAGGCUUAAUAAGAAAUUAGGGAAGGCCCACCCUGAAAUUCAAUAGGAGAAGAGAUUAGGUGGAGGCUUAAUAGGAAAUUAAGGAGCUCCCAUCAGGAAAUUUUGGUGCAGGUAGAUUAGGUGGAGGCUUAAUAGGAGGUUAGCAAGGGCCUACCCUACUAAUUCAAGGGGGGGGGGAGUUACAUGUACAUUAUAUGUGGGCCUGCAUACCACAACAAGACCUCCCGUCCUCACGUUUAAAUUGCCCCGCCCUCUCCCACUUGGUGGGCCCACUUCUCUCCUUGCCGCUCCCAAAAAAGCGUGUCGGCUGAGAGUUGUGCGUGUUGGUCAAUUUGCUCGCUGGAGCGAGCAAAUACCAGUGAGUCAAUGUGAGGUGCUCCCAACCGGCAAGAACACGAAUGACACCAUGCAACAUGCAUCGACCGACCAUGAUUCCUGCAUACAAAUAGUGAACAUCAGACACCAAUGCCCUUACCUCGCUGACCGGACACCCACGGCUCCACUCCCAAACACAGGAAUUGGCGUGAAGUACUCGAUGUCCUCCUAGAAUUCUUGUAGCUCUUCACCCCAUAUUUUUAUUCCUGUUUCUCCCUGUCAAUUAAGACCCCUCUAUUGGAUUUCCCUUUGGCUUGAGAAUGACGGUUGUGACCUCCAUAACAAUGCAACACUCGUCACCCGACUUCUCCUCUUUCUCCUAUGUGUCUUCCUUGCCGAUGAUAGCAAAGUGGACGACCCCAACGACGGUGAUAUCCGCUCGAUGCCAAGGACAUGCGCCGCAUGCGAGGGAAUAUAUGUGAUCCGACAUCCACAACACAAUCCGUAAGGACGAGUUUUCUUCCCAACGAAACCUUCUCUCCUAGCCAAAGAUGACAUCCCUCCUCGAUCUUCUCGUCGGCAUCCGCAGAAGCAACUAUCCUAAUGGUCUAUCGGGAUUGAGGACACCGGAGCGCCAUUCAGAUAUGCCACCAAGAAAGGCGAUGGAGAAGCUCGUUGACCAUUGCACAUGCAGGGAAGGGGGCAACCCAGUUUAGUAAAUUGUAAUAACGAGUUGUAGUGUGCAUCACAAUUAUUGCAUAAACAUCCUUUGAUUAAUUAUAAAAAGAGGAUAAUUCAAAACCUCAUAUAAAAUGCUAUAAAACACACUCAAAUAAUCAAUGCACUGGUAUAAUCCCGCUAAAAAAAUACUAAAAUAUUUACCAUAGUUUCCUUAGGGGGCAGUCCUCUCAUUUAACUAGGCAGGCAAACCCAAGAAGCAAACACUCAUGAGAGACAUAAGCAUUUUCUAGUGAAAAGAAAUAGUGUUGCCAACUAAAGAAAAAAGAAGCAUGCAUAUACUCCCUCCGUUCCUAAAUAUUUGUUUUUUUAGAGAUUCUAAAUGGACUACCACAUACAGAUGUAUAUGGACAUAUUUUAGAGUGUAGAUUCACUCAUUUUGCUUUGUAUGUAGUCAUUUGUUGAAAUCUCUAGAAAGACAAAUACUCCUUCCGUCCCAAAAUUCUUGUCUUAGAUACAUCCGUAAUAUAAAAAUUUUGGGACGGAGGGAGUAUUUAGGAACGGAGGGAGUAGAACACAUGGGCAAUGAUGUACAUCUGAUCUUUUCAAAGGUAUAUGGAGGGACACAAAUAUCAACAUAGAAUAUGGAAUGAGUGGAUCAAAGUUGACUGGGAGUAGAAUCAAUAUGCGCAACAUCGCAUCUUUGAAAGGUUCCAAAUACUCGCAGGCGUCAUUAGUAACAAGUGCAUUUGAAUUAUCACAUGGAAACAACAAAAUAUAUCCAACAAUUCGUUUUCUGGCAGUAUAACAGUGUUGGAUUCAUUGAGAAAUACUGAAUCAUGUUCAUCUAGAGCGUUCUCGUCCUCCUGCGACAUGGUGACAUCUAGGUUUUGCAGGACAAAGCAGGACGCCGAGCUAGUACUUAACCCCAGGAACAUGAGACCAUGCCGUGAAACUCGAAUAUUGUCCUCCGAAGGCUGCAACAGUCAGCUUGAGCCUUGAGGCCACACCGAGGAAUGUUCUUCUUUCUAGGGCCGAAGAUCCUCGCUCUGCUUGUUUCCGGAACCAUUGCUUCUCCAUGUUUGAUCAAAAUUAUGUGAGUGUCGCCUCUUCCUGAGCACUGUCCCUCUCGCUCAUUGCGCCCAAGAUAGACGAUUUACCCCGGAACAUGCAACCACCGUGAUGUGGAGCACGCACAAAAACUGAACCACAGAAAUGGACAACGUUUUAUGGGUAGUCAGCGCAUCUAAGUAAGCUAAGUUGAGACGUGUUAGCAUCGGAGUCGUUGUAGUAUAGUGGUAAGUAUUCCCGCCUGUCACGCGGGUGACCCGGGUUCGAUCCCCGGCAACGGCGAAUUUUUUGUUUCGCGGCCCAUGACAGGCCAGGCCGAUUCUUUUCGGCCUGCUGAGAGCUCGCCUGGCCCGUCCGGGCCUAUUUAUCGUAUGCACCCUCGAAAAGUAUCCCGUUCGCUCUAGAGCCCUGCCAAAACAUUUUCUGUCAUGCUACAAAUUUGUUGUUGCAAUGGCAAAGCAUGCGCGUGCAUAAGGACUACUCCCUCCGUUCGGUGAAGAGUGUACAUUUGGUUUUAGAAUUUGUCAACAAAAAAGUGUACGUCUAUCUUCCUAACACACUUUAAAGUAGAAAAAAUAAUUUUCUUUUAUCACAUGGCAAUCAAGACCAUUAGCAUUCUACAUAUGGUCUCCUUAAUUUCUACAUGCAUUUAGUUUAUUGGGGGUUGGGUAAUUAAAAAGAAGAGAGAUGGUAGUUUGCAUCUUCCCAAUGUAUUUUUACUCGCCUCCAUAAGUUGCCCUAAAAUUUAUAUAUGUACGCUUUUCGCCGGACGGAGAGAGUACUACUACAUUCUAGACAUUGUCUAAAAUGGUUAUAAUGAAUACCAUCGAUUUUGAUAAAAGAAACACUAGUUUUUAGUUCGUGUGUGUUACCCCUGGUUUGUUGGUUUUGCAGCUAUAUUGCUAGCUCAAAUUUAAAUGAACCAGUGUUAUAUUUGUAGAUCAAAUGAGUUAGUAUUGUAUGUUAUGCGUUUAUGUCGGUCUUUUUCUCCGAUUUAACCGGAAGAAAUUCUUAGAUUUUCGAAUUUGGCUCAGUCGAUUUCGUUGGGAAGGAAGAAGGAAGCGCGGGGCAGGGCAAAACGCCGUCAAGGCCUCAGCUAGGAACAAAUGUAGGCGGAGGCGAGUUCAAAGGUUAACGGUUCGGGGUGCAGACUUGCAGAGAAAUUUUAGUGGUUCGCCGGUUUAGAGGGAUGGCCAUGAUGGCUGGCGCCAACAUGAUGAUGAGGAGAGUGGGGUGGCGGAGGCAAGCAAUUUGGCCGGUGGUCAUGGACGGUUUGGCAAAGAAGAUGAAUAGGGGAGGACAGUAGGUGGAAGAUGACCAUCUGGUCGUUGGCUGGACGGUUCAGAAAAAUCAACCAACCCAAUCUUUUUUUUAUCGGCCAACCUUUGGUCAUCCUUUUUUUUUUCUCAUGAGUAACUGUGUCAAGGUGAUUCUUAAACCCCAAUCAAGGUUGGAAUAUGUUUUUGUUUGUUUUAUUCUCUUAAUUGCAUAAGUAGAAUAGAAAUAGAAUUUAAGCUAGACUCGUCUUCACUAGAAUCAUAAUCCUAAUCUAUGCUCAUGCAUAUUGUUAAUGUACUACAUUCUCCUAUCUGUCUGAUCGAAAUUAUGUGAGUGCCGCAUCUUCCUGAGCACUGUCCCUCUCGCUUAUUGGGGCCAAUAGAGACGAUUUACUCCGGAACAUGCAACCACCAUUAUGUGGAGCACGCAUGAAAAGAGAUCUAGAGGAAUGGAGAACGCUACGUCUAAGUAAGCUAAGUUGAGUAGCAUUAGCAUGUACUCCCCUUGUUUCUAAAUAUUUGUCUUUUUAGAUAUUUUAAAUGGACUGUCAUAUACAGAUGUAUAUGGACAUAUUUUAAAGUGUUGACAUGGUGUUUUCCACCCAACCCUGCACCUUGCUCCAUAAACGAUCUUUGAGGUAUUUAAAGGCCCCAUUCUUCGAACUCCCAAUAUCUUAUGGCAUCCCUAGAUACUUCUCAUUUAAAGUUUCAUUGGGUAUAUUGAGUAAAUCCUUUAUUUCAGUUCUGGUAGCCUCCGGCACCCCCUUGCUAAAAAAUAUUGAAGAUUUUGCAAAGUUCACUCACUGACCUGAUGCUUGACAAUAUGUAUUCAGUACUAGGUUCACCUCAUUAGCUCCUGCACUAUUUGCCUUGCAGAACAGCAGGUUGUCAUCAGCGAAUAACAGAUGGCUAAUUGGUGGCGCCGUAGGAGCCACUUGUACACCACCCAGAUUGGAUGACUCACUCUUUGAUUUUAACAGGCACGACAGGCCCUCUGCUGCUAGCAAGAACAAGUACGCAGAUAUUGGGUCCCCUUGUCUGAUUCCUCUUGAAGGUUGGAAUUCCUCCAGUCUCUUCCCAUUAAACAUGACAGAAAACUGUACAGUAGUGACCAGUCCCAUAACUAUGUCCACCCAUCUCUCAGUGAACCCCAGCUUUACCAUGAUUGCUCUCAAAUAUGGCCACUCCACCCUAUCAUAGGCCUUCAUCAUGUCUAGCUUCAGGGCAAAAGACUGGUGUUUUUUGGCUUUAUUUCUCUUCAUAAAAUGUAGGCACUCGUAAGCAGUGAUGAUGUUAUCAGUGAUUAGUCUGCCAAGGACAAAAGCAGACUGUUCCUCAGAAAUAAUGUUAGGUAGUACCACCUUAAGGCGAUUGGAGAUAACUUUGGAAGCAAUUUUGUAGAAAACAUUACACAAACUAAUGGGACGAAACUGGUUCAGUAGGGUUGGAUUUUUGACCUUGGGAAUCAACACCAAUACAGUCUCAUUGAUGCAUGUUGCCGAUUCUGUGCCCUCAACAAUUUUAAGCACGACUUUGGUGAUCUCGUCUCCCCAUGUCUCCCGGUGCUGCUGAAAGAAGUGAGCAGGAAAGCCGUCUGGUCCUGGUGCCUUAGUAGGAAACAUUUGAAAAAGAGUCGUCUUAACUUCUUCUGCACUGUACGGAGCAUUCCACAGCGCAUUCAUCGCUUGCGUCACUAGUAGAAAACAUGGCUUUGGUCACGGGGCAAUAUUCACAUUAGUCCCGGUUCAGUCAUGAACCGGGACUAAUGUGAGCAUUGGUCCCGGUUCGUGCGGCUAAGGCAUUAGUCCCGGUUCACUUGAGCCCUUUUAGUCCCGGUUUGAGACACGAAAUGAGACUAAAGGGUGCGAUGCCCUUUAGUNNNNNNNNNNGGUUUGUGUCUCAAACCGGGACUAAAGAUUAGACCUCUAGUCCCGGUUUGAGACACGAACCGGGACUAAAGGGUGCGAUGCCCUUUAGUUCCGGUUUGUGUCUCAGACUGGGACUAAAGGUCCCAUUUUCAAACUCUACCCCCCUGGAUCGCCUUUCUUGUUUUGAAAAAACCAAAAGAAAAUGAUAAAAACUUCAAAAAAUAAAAUCCUUCGAGAGGUAGUUAUAUUACUACAUCUACUAGUUAGGAAAAUUUAAAAACUGAAAUUUGGACAUGUUUUGCAAAAAAUGUAGGGAAAAUGUAAAACGGCUAUAACUUUUGCAUACGAUGUCGAAAAAAAACGUAUAAUAUAUCAAAAUGUUCAGAACAAAAAUCCGCUUCCGAUUUUGACCGCCUACGGCCUGUUUGCAAAUUUUUAGAAUCCUCAAAUUCUAAAAGGAAAAAAGUUAUGCUCAAAUUUCAGUUUUUUUUGUAUUUUCGUUAAAUCUGGUCAAAGUAUGGUCAAACUACUUAUUCAAGAAAUAUUAGUGUUAUUAAAUAAUUAUUCAAGAAUAUUAGUGUUACUAAAUAAUUAUUUUGGUUUUUCUGAAUUUUUGUCAAAUCUGGUCAAAUUGUGGUGUAACAAUGGUCAAACUAUGGUCAAACUAUUUAUUUAAGAAAUAUUAGUGUUACUAAAUAAUUGUUUCGUUUUUUUUUGAAUUUUGGUCAAAUCUGGUCAAACUUUGGUAAAACUAUUGUCAAACUAUUUAUUCAAGAAAUAUUAGUGUUACUAAAUAAUUAUUGGUUUGUACAAUAAUAGUUUCAAACUCAAACAGUGAAAUGUGUGACUUCAUGCUCAAGCUAAACUCUGAAGGGCUAAUAGGAUUGGCAUCUUACUAUUAUCAGGAAAACAACAAGUGCAGACUUGGAAACGAAGGAGAAUAGAACCUGAAAGUUAAGUGUGCUCGGGCUGGAGUAGUGAGAGGGAUGGGUGACCGGACGGGAAGUUAGAUGAUUCGGAAUGAUGAGGGGUGAUUAGAGAUUAGAGGUUAAAUUGAGCAAUGAUGAGGGGUGGGUGAUUAGAGAUUAAAUUAUAAAAUAAUUCGGAAAUUUGAAAAUCGAGAAAAAAAUUCAAUUUUUUUUUAAAAAAAAUUACCUUUAGUCCCGGUUGAUGUUACCAACCGGGACUAAAGGUGGAGCUGGUGGAGCUCUAGCCAGCGGCCACGUGGGUUCCUGAUUGAACCGGGACUAAAGGGUCAGGGCAUUAGUAACGAUCCUUUAGUCCCUGUUCACAAAACCGGGACAAAAGGCCCUUCCCAACCGGGACUAAUGACCCUUUUUCUACUAGUGCGUUACCUUGCAUGGUACUGUUUCGAGGACCCGUUCCAUGUCACCACCCCUUCUGUCGUGUACAAAUCUUUGUAGAAAGCAGUUGUCAUAUUUUCCAUCUCCACCACGUUUUCAGUAACCUGACCGUCAGCAAGCUGCAGCGAUUUGAUCUAGUUUUUGUGUCGCCUCCUGCUCGCUCUCAUGUGGAAGAAAUAGGUGUUUUUGUCGCCAUGCAUGAGCCAGUCAACCCUGGCUCGUUGCCUCCGCAAGAUCUCCUCACGGUGAAAAAGUUCAAUCAAGCGGUCACAUAUUUUUGUCUCCUGCCGUGAGGGGCCGGAGCUUCCUGGGAGUUCGUGCAUCACCUGUAUCCUUUUUUAAUUCAGCUAUCUCUCUAUGAACGCUGCCAAAAUGUUGCCGAUCCCAGGUAGCUAGGUCACCCGACAGCGCUUGUAGCUUUGUCUUCACCUGCACCACCGAAUCCCCCUGCACCUGGUUCCAACCCGCAUGCACCACUGUUUCCAGCAUCGGGUUGCGCUCCCAGCAUACUUCGUAUCUAAACGGUCGUGGCCCCCUUCUGCAUGCAUGCAUUGCUUGGAGCCUAAGCAUCAUAGGUACGUGGUCAGAUGUAGCAGCAGUAAGGUGCUCCAGAGAAGCAUCUGGGAAGGCCAGAACCCAAGCGGGAUUAGCCACGCCCUUGUCCAACCGCACCCUUGUGUACGUUACCUUUUUCUACUAGUGCGUUACCUUGCAUGGUACUGUUUCGAGGACCUGUACCAUGUCACCACCCCUUCUGUCGUGUACAAAUCUUUGUAGAAAGCAGUCAUCAUAUUUUCCAUCUCCACCACGUUUUCAGUAACCUGACCGUCAGCAAGCUGCAGCGAUUUGAUCUGGUUUUUGUGUCGCCUCCUGCUCGCUCUCAUGUGGAAGAAAUAGGUGUUUUUGUCGCCAUGCAUGAGCCAGUCAACCCUGGCUCGUUGCCUCCACAAGAUCUCCUCACGGUGAAAAAUUUCAAUCAAGCGGUCACAUAUUUUUGUCUCCUGCCGUGAGGGGCCGGAUCUUCCUGGGAGUUUGUGCAUCACCUGUAGUUCCUUUUUUAAUUCAGCUAUCUCUCUACGAACGCUGCCAAAAUGUUGUCGAUCCCAGGUAGCCAGGUCACCCGACUGCGCUUGUAGCUUUGUCUUCACCUGCUCCACCGAAUCCCCCUGCACCUAGUUCCAACCCGCAUGCACCACUGUUUCCAGCAUCGGGUCGCGCUCCCAGCAUACUUCGUAUUUAAACGGUCGUGGCCCCCUUCUGCAUGCAUGCAUUGCUUGGAGCCUAAGCAUCAUAGGUACGUGGUCAGAUGUAGCAGCAGUAAGGUGUUCCAGAGAAGCAUCUGGGAAGGCCAGAACCCAAGCGGGAUUAGCCACGCCCCUGUCCAACCGCACCCUUGUGUAUGUGCCGCCCACCACCUUCUUCUCAAAGGUCCAGCUCUGUCCCUUAUAACCAAUGUCAGAUAAACCGCACGUGUCAAUAGCGUCUCGGAAUACGUGCAUCUGUUCUUGGCUUCGCUGGCCAAUUCCAUCGUGCUCAUGGGCAUGAAGUACUUCGUUAAAGUCCCCAAUGACUAUCCAUGGAUCGUUGCUCAUUCCUGCAAUUCCACGCAACAUGUCCCAAGUUUUGUACCGCUCGCUUGUUUGGGCCUCACCAUACACAAAGGUGAUUUUGGUUUUGAUAUCUACCAUCUGUUCAACCAAAACGUCUAUGUGAUACUCAGAAUAACUGAUAACCUCGAGCUUUAUUUCCUCAUUCCAAAAAAUGCCUAGUCCACCACUCCUGCCGGAGCUGUUUACAACAAAGCUUUUAUUAUAACCUAGAGUUCCUACCAGAUUCUCAACUCGUGAGCCCUCUAACUGAGUUUCAAGGAUGCAUACAAUAGAGGGGGCAAGUUGCUUCGAAAGAUCUCGAAGCUCUCGAACUGUCCCGGGUCUGCCAGCCCCACGACAGUUCCAAACUAGGCAACUCAUUGCGCCAGGCGCGACCCGUUGAUAGGGCCCGCCGAUUGCGCGCUGUUUUGGGUGUUUGAGGGUUUGUUCUUCACUUGGUUCUUCUUCAACUGAGGUGGGUUGGUCUUCGUUCUUUUGGUUUCUUGCUUCGACGAAGGGCUCUGUGGAACAGUUUCUGUGGCAAGUGUUUGAGGUUCCAUCGAAGAUGAUGGGUUGGCUCCUGGAGCAGUAAGCAAGAGCGCAUUUGCAAGGGCACCUCUGUUGCGAUUCACUUCUCCUUCUUCCAUCUCUGUAUCCGGAUCAGUAGCAGGGUCAUAUUUAUCUAGAUGUGUUUGACCGAAACCACGCCCUACGUGUCCUGCACGGCCAUUGCCUCGCCCUCGUCCACCUUCCGAGCCUCUUGCCUCUCCUGGUUCGCGACCUGGUCCCCUAAACCAAUCUGCUUUCAGGUUUUUGAACACUAGCGCUGAUGGGGGGUGAACCCCAUCGCCGCAUUCUUUGAACGGAUGGCCUAGCAAUCCACAUAUAGCACACCAAUCUAGGAGCCUUUCAUAUUUCACUCUGUAAAUCUCUCUCUUCUUCCUGAUCACCAGCGAGACAGCGUUCUUGAGCGGCUUUGUGACGUCCACCUUCACCCGAACCCUAAAAAAGUUACCCUCAAAGUCCUGGGAUUUGGGCUCAGCAAAUAUGAAAUCACCCACCGUAGCAGCUAGCAAUUUAAUCAGGUGGAAGAACAAUUCAGGGAGAUCAUGAAUCGGAAUCCACAUCUCAAUUUUAUCAAGAACAAUGGACGAUAGCCUAGUGAAACCAUCAUAGGGCUCGAUCACGACCGCUUUCCCUUUGAAGGUCCAAGGGCCAUCGCCCAUGACUCUCUCCCAAUCUCCCGGGCAGGAGAAUUGCAAGGUAUAGAGGUUUUCUUCUAGCGGACGGAACUUGACCUCUUGCGCUAGAUCCCAUGCCACCCACAUGUUGUGAAAGAACCAGUACUGGCUGUACGGCUUGUCCGUGUGAACCCGCGCGAUCGCCAUCCAACGCGCUACUUCCUCUGGAAUAUCACCGUCCUGAACCAUGAUGUCCUCCAGAUCAUCUUCUUUCAGGCCUAGUUCCUUCAUCAUAGCCUCCAUCUCGCUCAUCGCUGCGGCUGAAGCCGACGUUGAGCCUUCCAUCAGAUCUCUUGCCCGAGAAGACGGUUUCCGCGGGCGGGAGGACCCAAGCCAGGUCACCCAGCACUCACGCACGCCAGCAAGCCUAAGCCGCCGGCGAUCGGUGGUCUGAGAGACGCAGGGGAUCGCGAUCUCCACGUCAAUGCCUAGGCGCCGCCGGGAGGAGAGAAAAACCCUAACUAGAGGGGAAUAUUUUCAGGUCUGUGUUCAAAAUAGUUGUUUUUAAGCGAUGCGAAGGUGUACCAUGGGCCAUGGCUAGACUAGGCCUGGCCGGCGUUAUAACCGGGAGAAGGAAAUAUCCAGGUGAAAAGAGAAAAAACGGAGCCCGCUAGGGUUUCCCUCCGCCGCCGCCGCCCUCCCCCGCUCCCGCCGCCGCCGCCCUCCCCCGCUCCCGCCGCNNNNNNNNNNNNNNNNNNNNNNNNNNNNNNNNNNNNNNNNNNNNNNNNNNNNNNNNNNNNNNNNNNNNNNNNNNNNNNNNNNNNNNNNNNNNNNNNNNNNNNNNNNNNNNNNNNNNNNNNNNNNNNNNNNNNNNNNNNNNNNNNNNNNNNNNNNNNNNNNNNNNNNNNNNNNNNNNNNNNNNNNNNNNNNNNNNNNNNNNNNNNNNNNNNNNNNNNNNNNNNNNNNNNNNNNNNNNNNNNNNNNNNNNNNNNNNNNNNNNNNNNNNNNNNNNNNNNNNNNNNNNNNNNNNNNNNNNNNNNNNNNNNNNNNNNNNNNNNNNNNNNNNNNNNNNNNNNNNNNNNNNNNNNNNNNNNNNNNNNNNNNNNNNNNNNNNNNNNNNNNNNNNNNNNNNNNNNNNNNNNNNNNNNNNNNNNNNNNNNNNNNNNNNNNNNNNNNNNNNNNNNNNNNNNNNNNNNNNNNNNNNNNNNNNNNNNNNNNNNNNNNNNNCGGCGGGCGCGCCCCGGCUCCUCCUCCCCCUCCCCUCCUCCCCCGUACCCCCCGCGUCGCCUCCCCGAGCGAGGCGGCCGGGGGCUCCCCUUCCCUGCCCCUCCCAGCGCCCCCCUCCUCCUUUCCCCUCCCGCCGCCGCCGGCGUAGGCCACUGGGCCUGGCUCGCGUGAUGCCGCCGGCGGCGGCCCUGUUCUCUUCCUCCCCGCGCGGCGCUGUAGCUCGGGCGUUGGCGCCGGCGGCGGUGCACCCAGGUCGGCUUCGGAUCCGGUGGCGGCUCGUCUUCGCAGGCGGCGCAGCUCCGGGUGGCAUGGUGGCGGUGGCGUGGCUGCUUGGCUGCGGGGCGGCGCGGUGGCUGGCGGCGGUGCCCUUCCGGCCCAGAUCUGGGCCCUUUUGGGCCCCAUCUGGGUCUGGGUGGGCCUGGCGUGUGCUUUCCGGCGUCAUCUCCGGCGGACGGAGGUGUGGCUUGGGCUGGGGGUGGCGGAGACGGUGGCGCGUGUACUGCAGCGCAGCGACGGGAGCUUCACGAGCCCGCUUCGGGCUCGGCCGGGCAGGGGUGCCUGGUUUGCUCCUAAGCUACGUCCGGUCGGUCACCGCCGAAGGUGGUGGAGGUUGUCCCCUCCCACGUGGCCGCUGACCCUGCUGCUCCUCGUUUUCGGCUGGUUCCUCUCGAUCCCGCCGGUCUCGCUUCGCUUGUCACGGUGAGACGGCGAUGGUGACUGCGUGUCCGUGGUGGCGCAUAUUGGUGGACGGCAAGUAUGGUGGAUCGCGAUGGAUCGUCUGGGGUCGUGGUUGGUAGGAGGUUGGGAGAAAUCCUUGUCGGCUUGUUCGGCACCGACGCGGUGACGCCCGUGGGCGUCGCCGUGCCUUCCUGAAGGGCGUCGGAUAUCCCCCUUCCUCCCACGGCCCUUCGCGUACCGGGGGAAACCCUAGGCCAUGUCCGGUAGCAGCGUCGUUGUCGUCGCGUUCCUUCUUGAAGGUGUUACUUGGUAUGCGGCGUUUCGUGGUGCUAGGAGCGUGGUGGAACUCUCCGGCGGGCGCAGCGGUGGUGAGUCAUCUUCGUUUUUGUUGAUCCGCCGUUGUCGGCAUUUUUUUUUCCUUUUGUGUUUUCUCUUUUUUUUUUCUUUUGGGCGUGCCUGUGCUGCUUCCGCCCCAGCACCUAUCGUGGGUUGUAUCGAUGUUGUUGCUUUGUAAUACAAAGCGGGGGGAAACCCUUUCUCGGCAAAAGAGAAAAAACUGAUCUGUAGUUCUGUACCGUACUGCUUUACAGGCCGCGCUGCCCAUCGGAGACGCGCAUGGAGAUCGACGCGCAUCCUUCUUCCUCAGCCUCGGCUGCUGCUGCGUCCUCGUCCUCGUCGCCUACGUAAUACCCCCAACCCCUAUCUCGUCCUGUACUCCUCCAUAUCUCUCUCUCCCUCUUGUUCUGCAUCCCGUUUCCGUUCACCUGCGGAUGUUGAAUCAGAUCCGCCUACAUCUGCAAGAUUAAUCACACCUCAAUAUAUGGAACUAAAUUGGGUAGAUAUAGUUACAGUUUUGCUAAAGCACAUCUAGAUGUGCCAUAAAUAUUGCACAUCUAGGUCCUAAAGUCAUUGAUCUUACACGGAGAUUCCUGUGGAUAAUUUCUUUUUUCUUUUUCUUUUUCUUCUUAUGGCUUGAUUGAGUCAUUUAGAUGUGCAAUAACUAGGGCACAUCUAGUUAAGUCGUAGAUGGAUUCUGCUUAUUCUCGAAGAAGAAAAACAAUCCAGAUUGAGACUUUCCCUGCUUUAGGUGUCCAACAUUGCAGCUAAUAACGGAGGGAGAACCAUAUGUGCUCUGCUUUCCUUUUUCAGGCAGAAUCAACACUUGCCAGAUACAGUAUUAAUUUGAGAAAUAGGCGAUUUGUGGUUUGUAUUGUUCAGUAGACGCGAAGAAUUAUAUGAAACUUUAACAGGCCGUCUAUCUACCGCGUAGCUUCUACAUAGUUGUUAAUUUUAUUCUCAGGAGCGACAACGUCAGUAUUUUUUGUUAAUUUUAGUGUAUGAUGCAAGUGUAGUGACGUGUUGAUGUUGGAACGAUACACACAAGUCGUGUUUUCUGAAUCUUGGUAGCUCCUGUUUCUUUUUGUACAACUACACCUUGCUGCGCAUGUCUAACCUUUUGUCCUGAAUUUUAUGUGUCGCCAGGGAGAGCGCUGUCAUGCAAAUCAGGGCGAAGAGAACCUGCUAUGCCGCUGCCUCAUCUGAGGCACGAGGAUGGGCCGAGCUCCCGGACGACUUGCUCCGACCCAUCGUUGCUCUCCUCAGCUCGUCGUUCCGCGACCUCCUCGCCUUUGGUUCCACCUGUCAUCCCUGGCGUGAUUUCUCAGCGCACACGUCCUCUUUGUACCCUCUCCUCCUCCACCCGAGUACCGACCGCCAACAGUAUCCCUGGUAUGACUAUGACUACUGGACCCUUUUCCACGAAUGCACGUGGAGAUUGGCUGAUCCUGCUGCCGCCUCAUCCUAUCCCAGUUUGCUUUCCUUGAGUGAUCUCAGGGGAAUGUUCUUUCUGCGCUGCUCCUACGGUCACCUCAUCUUCUUCGACAAUAAGGGGUUCUACAUUGUUAAUGCGUUCAGUGGCGCUAAGGUUGUGCCUCCUUGCCUCAAGUCAGACAACUUCAUUCACAUUAGCUAUGCCACCUUGACUGCCCCUGUUGCAUCCGCUGACUCGCAUCUCCUUGUCGGCAGCGGAGGCUAUCUGUUUCAGUGGCGCGUCGGGAGCGACUCUUGGUUGGAACACUAUCCUAAAGUUCCUUUUCUUACGAUUGAACAAAUUGUGGCCUUCAAAGGCAAAACAUACACCCUAGGGUCUUUUGGGUCCUUCUGCAUCGUACAAUUUUCGCCCUGUCUCUUAGUUCAGAAGUUUGAAAUUAUGUUUGAGGAAGAUAGAACUGAAGAUCGCUAUUGGACAAAUCAAAAAACAUGGCUUGUGGUGUGCGACGUGCUUCUCUUAAUCAAACUUGAGGCAGUAAAAAGGAUAAGCUCUGAGGCUUUCCAGUUCAAGGCCUUCAAGCUCAAGUCGUUGGACGCCAAGAACAAGAAAGCAAGGUGGGCGAAGGUGGACAGGUUGAAUAACUGGGCCAUCUUUGUCAGCGCCGACGGGCGAUGCGAGGCGUUGUCGUUCAUGAACCCGGAGAGAUGGGGAGGGAGGAGCAACCACAUAUACUUCCCAAGUUAUGAGUCUGAACGACCUUGGGCUGCAGUGCAACUAUGGCAAAAAGCUAACAACCAUUCGACAAGUUCGUGGCUCUCGAAAACUGGAAGCCAGUACCACAGAUUGGUGCCAACCUGGGUCCUCCCUAGCGCAUAUCCUCGCUCUGGUCAGCAAUGAUCUUACGGCCAUCGCAGGCGUGGUUGGUGAUUGUCCUCUGAUACAGCUUCCCUGGGAGAGUUCUACCUUGUUUGGAGCAGUUACAUGAUGAGUAGUUUUACUGAAUGUUCUUAACUUUUUUUCUAAACUUGCAUUGCAAACAGAAGCUUUCACUGUAGAGUUAUCUGAUUCUGCUUUUUUUUUGUGGGAUUAUAAGGGACCUUAUGUUUUAUUGCUCAUCUACUACAAAUUACGGAGAUUACUUGUACUUGCGCCACUUGAUAACUUUGGGUUAGGCCUGCAACUUACUUUUAUACUACACACAUAAGGUGUUCAUCUAGGAGACUAGGACUGAGCCCAAAAAGCAAUUUCCUAAUAAACUCGCUAGUAUCUGUGCAGUGCUCAUUAUUCAUCAAGUUAUAAGCUUACUGCUGUUCUUCAUCUUUUCAUGUUGAACAAACUUGUGAUGUCUUUUAUUUAGUGCCAUGGCAGCUGUUUUGCUUCGAAUAAGUGUGCCAUGGCAAAGGUUUGCAUACUCACUGCGCAUGUGCCAUGGCAGGCGUCUUUCCCAUCGGGUUAGCCAGGUUUACAUGUUGCUUUUUUCGCCAAAGCUUGUUAAUUACUCCCAUUUUGUUAAUUAAGAAGCUUUGGCGAAAAAAGCAACAUGUAGAACAGGUUUUUGCCUCCAAGAACGUACAUUGGAUAGCAAACAAAGAUUAUUACAAAUCUUGAUGCACUACAUCAGAGAAGCGAAAAGAAUAAGGGAGUGUUUAGUUCGGUACUUCAGCCUGCCACUCCAACCUGCGGCAAGCCGCAAGUGAGGCGGACGAUCCGUCCGCCACACGCAGUGGCGGAGCUAUGUUGGGGCCAGGGGGAGCCGCUGCCCCCCCAGCCUUUUACCAAUUUCUGAAGAAAUUCUUUUUAGGGAGACUUAGAUUAGAACAUUUUUAGCAUUUGGCCCCCCCAGACACUGAUGAUUUGUGUUUCGCCCCCCCAGAGUUUUUCGGCUAGCUCCGCCACUGGCCACACGUUAGGCACGAAAAAGUGCAACACGGUAGUUUGUUUUGCUAUCACAUACUACAGCGUGUCAGGAAGCAAACAGUUGCCGGAGAUUGUCUGGCACGCCGCGCAUGUGGCACGGCAACCAAAGGCGUGAUCCAAACACACCCUAAGUACCAUAACAAUGGAACACAAACAGCCCCCAAGUGCAGCCAGUGGCAACAAGCCAACUACAUGGUGCAACGACACGAUCUCAUACCCAAGCAGCAAAAGAUGUAGGAUUGCGAACAAGUUGAGCAUUUAUCGUCGUAAAACAAGGUUCUGGCACCCACUUCUUAUUUCGGUUGCCAUCUUCUGGUUAUGAAAAUACUCGAGCAUUUUUAUCCAACUCGUAGACAUGGCCAUCCCUUAACCCCAUCCCCUCUUGGUUCACUAAGUUUCAUGGCUGUUUUUGGCCAAAGAAGCAUGCACACUUGUUCAUGCCUCCAUCUAUCCCCUCGCAUACUUUACAGUUUCAGUCGAAAAAUCGAUGGAGAAGGCAUCCCCGUUACAGCCAAGUAGGAGAAGCGUAUCUUCUCAAGCUACCAAAUUUCCCGAAAGCAUCUACCGGUCCAUAUAAUUGCUGCAAGAAACUCUUAGUACCUCACCAUGAAAACUAGGGUGCCAAAUGCACGGUGUACAACCUUUGAUGUAUCCUCAUAAUGAUCCGGCCUUUGAAGGCCACCAUCUCUUGGAUCAAAUGUACACUUACAAAAUCACAGCCCAAUCAAGUGGGGCUCCCAACCUCUCUUGUAGUCCAUGUGAUGUCAUGAGAUAGUUGGAGCCGAUGGUGGUUGUUCUACAUUGCCAAUCAAUGUUUUUAGAGAUAAUAAUAGAGGGUGUGGAUCACUGAUUCUCAAUUUGCUAGGAAAAUCAUAUGUGAUCUGCUUUUAUUUUUCUGUCAGUAUCGACACUUGCCAGAUACAGUAUUAAUUUGAGAAAUACUAGGCGCAAAGAUUUAUUUUCUAUCUAGCGCAUAUAUAUAAGUUCCCCAAAGAAUUGAUAUCCAGUGCCUGCAUCAUUGUUUAUCCAUGGCCAGCUCAUCUUCUACGACAACAAUGGGUUCCAUAUUGUUAAUCCAUUCGGUGGCACUAAGGUUGGUCCUCCUUCCCUCCGGUCAGUUCACUUCACUUGCAUCAGCUAUGUCACCUUAACUGCCCCUGUUGCAUCCGCUGAUUCGCAUCUCAUUGUCAGUGUUGUAGCCUAUCUGUUCCUGUGGCGCAUCGGGAGCGACUCUUGGACAAAACACAGUCCUAAAGUUGGUCGUUUUUUUAUUGAACAAAAUGUUGCCUUCAAGGGCAAGACAUAUGCCCUAGGGUCUUUCGGGUGGUUCUACAUCAUUCACUUGUCACCCAGUCUCAUUAUUCAGAAGUUUAGUUGUGUUUGAGGAAGAUAUAACCGAAGAUCUCUAUUCGGCAAAUGAAAAAGCAUGGCUAGUGGUGUGUGCUGAUGCACUUCUCUUGGUCAAGCUUGUGGAGGCGGGAAGAAGGAUGCGCUCAGAGGCCUUCCAGUUCAUAGCCUUCAAGCUUGAGUCGUUGGACACCAUGACCAAGAAGGCAAGGUGGGUCAAGGUGAACAAGUUAGAUAACCGGGCCAUCUUUAUCAGCAUUGACGAGUGGUGCGAGGCGUUGCCGUGCAUGAACCUGGAGGGAUGGGGAGGGAGGAGCAACCACAUAUGCUUCCCAAGUUAUCGGUCUGAACAACCUUGGGCUGAAGUCCAACUAUGGAAAAUGUGUUAUUACCAUUCGACAUGUUCGCAGCUCUUCAACACUAGAAGACAGUACCUGAAAUUGGAGUCAACCUGGGUCUUCCCCGUGCAUUUCCUUGUUCCGGCCAGCGAUGAUCUUACGGCCGUGGGUGCGGUUGGUGAUUAGCUUAUGAUACUGCUUUGGUGGGAGGAUUCUACCAUGUUGCAGUUGCAGGAUGAGUAGUUCACUGAAUGUUCUUGACGUUUUUCGAAACUUGCAUUACAAACAGAAGUUUAGAUUAAGUUAUCAGAUUAUAUGUACUCUCCUUUUUUUUCUGCGGCGAUUACAAGGGAACCAUAUGUUUUAUUUCUCAUCUAUUACAGAUUGUGGAGUUUUCUUGUACUUGGGCACUUGAUAACAUGGCCAGGCCUGUAACUUCCCAUUCAUACAUACAUAGAUACCUAUAAGGUGUUGGUAUUGCAACAGAGUAAUUGUACUAUGGUUGUUGAUUAUUCACGUGAUGUGCUUGAGCAUAUGACAGUCUCAUUUGGUGGAAAUGUGAAUAUUGAGAAAAUAGCUUGGGCAGAGCUAAAAAAAAUUAACAGAACAUGGUACGCCAUUUUGGGCUGGAGAGUUGCAAGGUCACCAAGAAUUGGAGUGAGGAUGCAAGUCCAUAGACAUCAGGUUAAUAUAAACUACAAGUUCAGCCAGCAAACAUAUAAGCAGCAUAUGUGCAUUCAUCACAAAGUUUGUGUUUGACAACCAAACAACUCUGCAUUUGCAGGUAGCUUCAGCAAACAGCUCUGCGUGCAUUUGAUUAUCUCUGUAUAAAAGGAGAUCAAGCUACAAGUAGAUGUAUGGACCAAACAAAGCACAUAACUCAAAUAAAAGCCCAGGCACAUCUGACAUGGUGCACACAAAAAAUGUUGAAGAGUGAUAUGAAGACGCAAGAAGCUAGUAUUGUUUCAGGAUGCAAGCCCUUAUCUCUUGUAUGCAAAACGGGAGUAAUUAACAAGGUUCAGCGAAAACAGCAACAUGUAGCACAAGUUUUGCCUCCAGGAACGUACACUGGGUAGCAAACAGAGAUUAUUACAAAUCUUGAUGUACUCCAUCAGAGGAGCGGAAACUAGAAGGAACAUAGCGACCGAAUACAAAAAGUCCCCAAGUGCAUCCAACGACAACAAGACAACUGCACGGUACAACCCACAUGAUCUCAUACCCAAGCUGCAUAGGAUGUAGGAUUGCGAGCAAUAUGAGCAUUGAUCGUUGCAAAACAAGGUUCUGGCUCCAACUCCUCAUUUUGGUUGCCAUCUACUGGUAUGAAAAUACUCGAGCGUUUUCAUCCAACUGGUAGACAACACCACCCCUUAAACCCAUCCUCUCUGGGUUCACUAAGUGUCGUGGAUGUCCAAUGUGUUUCUGGCCAAAGAAGAACGCCCAGUUCUUCAAGCCUCCCUCUUCUACUCUCACAAACUUUGCGGGUUCAGUUGAGAAAUCAAUGGAGAAGGCUUCCCCAUUACGACCAAGUAGGAGAAGUGUGUCUUCACAAGCCACCAAAUUUCGGAAAGCACAUACGGGUCCAUAUAAUCUCUGCAAUCAACUCUUAGUACCUCAACAUGAAACUGAGGUGCCAAAUGCACGGUGUAUAGUUUUUGACGUAUCUUCAAAAUGAACUGGCCUUUGAAGGACACCAUCUCCUUGACCAAAUGUGCAUUUAGAAAAUCGCAGUGCAACCAAGAGGGGCUCCCAACUCGCCAAGCGUACAGGCAGUGUGGGCUGCUGACAAAUAGAUAUGAAUCUGGUGAUGCUUCUGGAGAUAUGAAGGUUCUAGAGCAGAGUUGAUUCAACGGGAAAGGUGGAGCUGCAACCGUAGUGCCAGUGAGCACGUCCAUAAUGAUAAGGGAUCUGUCGUAGAAGAAAAUCGCAUAAUCAUAGGAACAUUUGAUGACUGCCACUUUGUCCAAAAUACUUGGAGGGGUCAAGCGACACAACGGAGUACUUGGAUAUACAGGAUCAAUGAGCUCCCAUGUGUUUCCAAUGUUCGAGCCAGCUGAGCUUGUCUGGUCGGCACAGUUCCGAAAAAUAACAGGUGGGAAGAGCUUGCCUAAGGUAGAUCUGAUUGACAUAAAUGCGGCAUACCAGCUAGGGCAGGUGGCGAUGAAUGCAAGAAGGUCACGAGUUGAACCCAACAGGACAAUGAUGGAGUGCAAUAAUCCAUGUGGUAGGUCCGCCCAGCCUUCGGGUCCAAACAUGACACGGUGCACGGAGAUGGGGUGUUGGAGCUCUGGUUGAUGUUUUGCAUGAUAUCAGCUCCAAAUUCU